CUGCCAGUAGUCAUAUGCUUGUCUCAAAGAUUAAGCCAUGCAUGUCUCAGUACAAGCCGCAUUAAGGUGAAACCGCGAAAGGCUCAUUAAAUCAGUUAUGGUUCCUUAGAUCGUACCCACAUUUACUUGGAUAACUGUGGUAAUUCUAGAGCUAAUACAUGCAAACAGAGUUCCGACCGGAGACGGGAGGAAUGCUUUUAUUAGAUCAAAACCAAUCGGCGGCGUGCGCGUUCGCGCGCACGUUCGCCGCUCAACCUGGUGACUCUGAAUAACUUUCGGCUGAUCGCACGGUCCAGCACCGGCGACGCAUCUUUCAAAUGUCUGCCUUAUCAACUGUCGAUGGUAGGUUCUGCGCCUACCAUGGUCGUAACGGGUAACGGGGAAUCAGGGUUCGAUUCCGGAGAGGGAGCCUGAGAAACGGCUACCACAUCCAAGGAAGGCAGCAGGCGCGCAAAUUACCCACUCCCGGCACGGGGAGGUAGUGACGAAAAAUAACGAUACGGGACUCAUCCGAGGCCCCGUAAUCGGAAUGAGUACACUUUAAAUCCUUUAACGAGGAUCAAUUGGAGGGCAAGUCUGGUGCCAGCAGCCGCGGUAAUUCCAGCUCCAAUAGCGUAUAUU
rnacentral:rRNA from 2 species